GGCGCCGUGACUUAGCGGGUUAAAGUGCUUGUAUAGAAAACAAGAGUUCCUGGGUUCAAAUCCCAGCGGUGCCU